rnacentral:rRNA from 1 species
UACAGAGGUCCCAACCGUUGUUCGGAUUCAUUGGGCGUAAAGGGUGCGUAGGCGGCGGGGCAAGUCAGGUGUGAAAUCUCGGGGCUCAACCCCGAAACUGCACUUGAUACUGCCUUGCUCGAGUACUGGAGAGGAGACUGGAAUUUACGGUGUAGCAGUGAAAUGCGUAGAUAUCGUAAGGAAGACCAGUGGCGAAGGCGGCCCACUGGGCCGGAACUGACGCUGAGGCGCGAAGGCGUGGGGAGCGAACAGG